rnacentral:lncRNA from 1 species
AAUUUCAUAGUUCAGCUAUGUACGCAGCUGACUAUCAAAAGAUAAACAAAAUCUAACUAGUAGCACUAUACCUAAAGUUCAACAUUACAAUAGAUAAUGCUGAAGGUGUAAUCUAACUCUAGGAGUUGCCCUAAUAUUACAAAUGUAUGCAAUGGUCCUAAGCAAUUUAUCACUGGAACAGAAAGUAUUUCCAAAAAUUCUCGCAUUCCUUUCUAACCAUAAGGCAUAGAACAGUUCUGCAAUGGUCAUUUUGAGUAUAUGAGCUCGAUAAGAUUUCCCUUUAGACAUAGAAUAGUGCUGCAAUGGUCAUUUUGAGUAUAUGAGCUCGAUAAGAUUUCCCUUUAGCAUUUUCAAUGGUCCAGUGUACAAACUGUGUCCAAUUCUGUCCAGUAGGCUGUAGUAUUCCAAUCCACUGCAGUGUUUGAUACCUCAAUUGAGUGGCAAAAGGGCAGUCCAAGAACAAGUGAUCUCUGGUCUCCAGUGCUUGUUGAUACAUGACACAGGUGCCAUCCACAUUCGAGUUUCAUUUGAUCAACCUAUCUUUAGUAGGAAGUCUGUCUUGUAGGAGCAGCCAAAGGUUGAAAAGUGCUUUAGGCCGACCAAGAUUCUGUAUGGUUAAGUUCUUCCAAAAGACUCUAGGUAACUGUCCAGUCCGUUGAAGAUAGAUCAUUCUGAUAGAGCAUGCUGGUUUGUGUAACAGUUGGUAUUGCUGUAAUAGAACAGUACCUUCAAUGAUCUUCCGAACCAUCCAACUGGCUUGUUUAGGAAUAUUUUUACUUUGUUAGGAAUGAAGUGCAAAAUGAGAUUAUUUUUGAGUCUAAAUUUAUAUGAUGCUCUGUUUUCAUCAUUAUCUUUUAAUAUUGAACAAUUCCUACCUUACUAAUUUUCUUUAC